UCCCAGCAAGUGUCCAUCCAUCU
rnacentral:miRNA from 1 species